UUUAACGCUUGCACCGAAUAAAACUCAGACGUAGUCUAAUUGUUAGAAUAAGCACACUACACAUUUUUCAUUUGAUAACCAUGUAUUAUUUCAUUAUAUUCAGUUACCGUUACUUCCCUGGAAAAUCUUGCUGGCUCAUAAACUACCCUGAGUUAAUUCAGACUUAAUGUAAACAGCACAGGGUGUCAAGUAUCCAUGAUGACUAAUUUAGACUUAAUGUAAACAGCAUAGGGUGUCGAGUAUCCAUGAUGACUAAUUCAGACUUAAUGUAAACAGAACAGGGUGUCGAGUAUCCAAGAUGACUAAUUCAGACUUAAUGUAAACAGCACAGGGUGUCGAGUAUUCAUGAUGACUAAUUCAGACUUAAAAACUGUGAGUAUCAGAUGACUAAUUCAGACUUAAUGUAAACAGCACAGGGUGUCGAGUAUUCAUGAUGACUAAUUCAGACUUAAUGUAAACAGCACAGGGUGUCUAAUAUCCAAGAUGACUAAUUCAGACUUAAUGUAAACAGCACAGGGUGUCGAGUAUCCAAGAUGACUAAUUCAGACUAACUGUGAACAACGCAGUGUUGCGAGUAUCAGAUGACUAAUUAACGUUAAUCCUCUUUGUAUAUUGUUUUACAUUUCAUUUAUGACAAGAAAUUGACACAGAUGGACAACUAUAAUAAUGUAGGAUAUAACAAACAUGACUAUUUCAGUUUCGCAAUGUCCAAUUUUUCUCAGCAAUUAUACUCCCUGUCUUCAAAUGGCGUUAACAUAUCUGUUUUACUAAUGUAUUAUGGUUCACAUUACUUGGAUUUUAUAAACUUAAGUGUUCUUCUGACGGAAAAACCUAUAUUGGCAAGUUAUCAUACUUAUAACGAAUAAUUAAGCGGACUGUGUUUUUUUAUUGAGUUAAGCAUUCCAAUUGAUAUUUUAUCGUGUGUUUUCUAUAUUGUGAUGUUAUACUAUUGUUUCAGAAAAAGGGAGAAGGUUUAGUACCACUAAAACGUUUAAUCCCGAUGAAAAUGUUUGCACCUGUCCUAAGUCAGGAAUCUGAUGUACAGUAGUUGUCGUUUGUUAAUGUUAUUUAUACGUGUUUCCCGUUUCUCGUUCUCAUUGACACUCACACCACAUCUUCCUAUAUCGGUAAGCUGUGUCUGUGUCUCAUACCACGCGGUCGUAGAUCUUUCACAAAUUAGAACAGUCUUCGUAUUUCCCUUUGUUAUAGUUUUGCUAAACUUGCUUUACAUUUCGAUUGAUGCAUGAAUAUUGAAAGCUGAUUGUCCCAAAGAAGCAAGUUCAUGCGAUUUCGAGGUUUUUUUGAAGUAAAGAAACAAAAAAUGAGCCUAUGAAAUAAAUGGCUGUUCUACAUAUUUCGAAUUACGUUUAGUAAUCGUUCUUCAUGCCAACUAUUACAAAACGAAGUAUCUAUAUUGCAGAUUUUUUGUAGUUCGAACCUCUUUUACAGACACAAUAUAAAAAAGAAGAUGUGGUAUGAUUGCCAAUGUUUAGUUAUGAUUGCUGAUUUUCUGUAAUUCAACCUACUGUUACAGGGCAAAGGGUUUACUAAUGACGACAUAUAUUCAGUGUUUAGAUCUUUUGGGAGAUCUGUAGUUCAAAAUCUACCAUUGGUAGACAAUGUUUGGUUUUGUGACAGAUCUUCUACAGCCAAACUACUACUAAGAGACUAAGUGUUUGUCUUUUAUUAAGAGGACAAACGAUGAUAUAUUAGAAUACAGAAGAUAUAAUGGAUGUAAGUAUGUGAAAAAUUAACAGAUUUAGUAGAUGAUAGACAUAUGGUAUGUUCACAUUGAGUAUAUUUAGAGGACUCAUAUAUGGAAAUUGAGCAGAUUUUGACGAUUACAGACAAUUUGUGAAUAUUGCAUAGAUUAAGAGAUUGACAGAUUGAACAGGUUUUCACGAUGACAUAUUGUAUGUUAAAUAUUGUUUAGAUUUAUACGAUUAUACUUGGUAUGUGAAUAUUGAGUAGAUUUAGAGAACACAUAUAUUGACAUUGAGCAGAUUUUGAUGAUUACAGACGAUUUGUGAAUAGUACGAAGAUUAAGAGGAUGCCAUGAUUUAUGAUAUGUGUAUUUGUGUAAUGACGAACAAAAAUCUUAAAUAUACACAAAUAAUGCGACGAGUAUGCAUGAACUGAUACUUAAUACACUUGAUGAUGUUACCCAAAAC
rnacentral:lncRNA from 1 species